AGAUUGAACGCUGGCGGCAGGCCUAACACAUGCAAGUCGAGCGGCAGCACGGGUACUUGUACCUGGUGGCGAGCGGCGGACGGGUGAGUAAUGCCUAGGAAUCUGCCUGGUAGUGGGGGAUAACGCUCGGAAACGGACGCUAAUACCGCAUACGCCCUACGGGAGAAAGCAGGGGACCUUCGGGCCUUGCGCUAUCAGAUGAGCCUAGGUCGGAUUAGCUAGUUGGUGAGGUAAUGGCUCACCAAGGCGACGAUCCGUAACUGGUCUGAGAGGAUGAUCAGUCACACUGGAACUGAGACACGGUCCAGACUCCUACGGGAGGCAGCAGUGGGGAAUAGUUGGACAAUGGGACGAAAGCCUGAUACCAGCCAUGCCGCGUGUGUAGAAGAAGGUCUUCGGAUUUAGUAAAGCUAACGUUUUAAGUUGGGAGGAAGGGCUAAGUUAACCUAAUUACCGUAUACGUUGUUUUACCGACGUUUAACCGACGUAAGUAAUAAGCAACCCGGACUAAACUCUAGU
rnacentral:rRNA from 1 species